rnacentral:rRNA from 1 species
CCCUUAGAUGUUCUGGGCUGCACGCGCGCUACACUGAAGGAAUCAGCGUGGCUCUGUCCCUGGUCCGAAAGGAUUGGGAAACCCGUUGAAUCUCCUUCGUGAUAGGGAUUGGGGCUUGGAACUGUUCCCCAUGAACGAGGAAUUCCCAGUAAGCGCGAGUCAUAAGCUCGCGUUGAUUACGUCCCUGCCCUUUGUACACACCGCCCGUCGCACCUACCGAUUGAAUGGUCCGGUGAAAUCUCGGGACGGCGGCUUGGUCGCUUGCGUCCGACUGCUGAAACUUGAUUAAACCAUAUCAUUUAGAGGAAGGUGAANUCGUANCA